rnacentral:rRNA from 1 species
GAUGAACGCUGGCGGCGUGCCUAAUACAUGCAAGUCGAGCGAACAGACGAGGAGCUUGCUCCUCUGACGUUAGCGGCGGACGGGUGAGUAACACGUGGAUAACCUACCUAUAAGACUGGGAUAACUUCGGGAAACCGGAGCUAAUACCGGAUAAUAUAUUGAACCGCAUGGUUCAAUAGUGAAAGACGGUUUUGCUGUCACUUAUAGAUGGAUCCGCGCCGCAUUAGCUAGUUGGUAAGGUAACGGCUUACCAAGGCGACGAUGCGUAGCCGACCUGAGAGGUGGAUCGGCCACACUGGAACUGAGACACGGUCCAGACUCCUACGGGAGGCAGCAGUAGGGAAUCUUCCGCAAUGGGCGAAAGCCUGACGGAGCAACGCCGCGUGAGUGAUGAAGGUCUUCGGAUCGUAAGACUCUGUUAUUAGGGAAGAACAAAUGUGUAAGUAACUAUGCACGUCUUGACGGUACCUAAUCAGAAAGCCACGGCUAACUACGUG